rnacentral:rRNA from 1 species
UACAGAGGUCCCGAGCGUUGUUCGGAUUCAUUGGGCGUAAAGGGUGCGUAGGCGGCGGGGCCAGUCUGAUGUGAAAUCCCGGGGCUCAACCCCGGAACGGCAUUGGAUACUGCCUUGCUAGAGUACUGGAGAGGGAACUGGAAUUUACGGUGUAGCAGUGAAAUGCGUAGAGAUCGUAAGGAAGGCCAGUGGCGAAGGCGAGUUCCUGGACAGUGACUGACGCUGAGGCACGAAGGCCAGGGGAGCAAACGGG